rnacentral:rRNA from 1 species
UACGUAGGGUGCGAGCGUUAAUCGGAAUUACUGGGCGUAAAGCGUGCGCAGGCGGUUUUGUAAGCCAGAUGUGAAAUCCCCGGGCUUAACCUGGGAAUGGCAUUUGGGACUGCAAGGCUCGAGUGCGGCAGAGGAGACUGGAAUUCCUGGUGUAGCAGUGAAAUGCGUAGAUAUCAGGAGGAAUACCGAUGGCGAAGGCAGGUCUCUGGGCUGACACUGACGCUCAUGCACGAAAGCGUGGGAGCAACAGG